AUGAAACCAUGGUUUUGUAGGAUCUGUCUGGAUAUAUCCCCGGACAUUGAUGUUUUACAGGAUCUUCUCUUGCAGCCCGUAGGAUCUGUACCCUUCUUUCAUCCUCCUUGAUUUUUCAUUUUUGUUUUUAAAUAUUUGCUAAUAUUGUUUCUUAGCAAUAUUUGUGUUCCAAAAUUUGAUCUUGAUUCAAAAGUUGCAAGGAGGAACUAUGUGCUGCCUACAGCAACUCACAAAUUCUUGCUUGCUAUGUAGGAAUGUGGAGAACAAUCUAUUCUUUGGACCUAUACCUGCAAAAUUGCUGUGUUCCAAAUUUUAGGUGCUGUGGAUUUUUUUGUUCUGCCUUUCAUAUAUAUAUAUAUAUAUAGAUGGAUUGUCUUUUAACAUGGAUUUGGUUCUAUCGUGUAUGCCAAAUCCUGGAACUAGUUAUGUUAGCGCUUGUCUCUCGGUCUCUUUUUAAUUAAUACAGAACUUGAUACUUCUUUCUUUCUUUAUUUUUGAAUUUUUCCAUUUCUUUUUGGAUAUUAAACUAGUCUGCAAUGGUGUAUUGUUUUACCUUACUUGAGACAUGGAUUUUCUUAGUUGCUUAUAUAGAAUGCUGAUGUUAGGCUAGGAGCUCAGAAACAGAUUUCUUUGUUAUCUCUUUUAUUGCUAGCCUAGGAAAUCACAACUUGUAGAUUUCACACUUUUGUGAGGAAGUCUUUUGUCAUCCAUGUUUAGUGAAUUAGAAACUGAUUUUUUCUCUUUUCUUGGUAUAUGUAUUUGCAUGAGAUCUGUCAACCACUCUCUGUUCACCGAAAUUUCAAGUCUGUGAAUCUUCACCUUAAUGACAAGCUUGAAUUACGUGUUUCAGACUCUGUUUGGCUCCUCCACUAUUGUCUGGUUCUGCAUGUCAGGUAAUUUUGUGUGUAUGAUAUUUAAACCCCGUUGGUAUAAAAUGCUACAAAUUACUAUUUUUGACUGAUGUUUGUAAAUGUUUAUUGAGACUCUGUGUUUGCAUCCAACUUUAUGUUUUAUAGCUGUUUUAAUUAGAUAUUGAUAGAAUGCAAUUGAAAAAUUUUAGAAAAUUUUCAUAAACUGUAAAACUUUGUGGCAAAGAUGCUGAAGAAUUUGAAUUUGCUAGAUAUUGGGUCUUUUAGGAAUGUAACUUGUGAUUUGAAACUUAAGAAAAGAAAUCAUUUCCUUUUGGGAGAUUGGGGAUACCAAUGUCUGGGUUUGAGGACUGGAACAUGUUGGUGUUGCUUGCCCUGGGAUGUUUGGAGCUUCUUUAAAGAUGUAUGCUUAUCUUAGUUGAUAUUUGUUAUUUGAUCUCAACUAGGAAAUAAAUAACAAGCCCAAAAUAGAAAGGGACAGAAAUCUAACAUGGUUCACCAUGAUUUCCUAUGCCCACAUGAGAGGGAGAAGACCUCGCCCUUCUCUCUCUAUCUGAUACAAGCAUCAAACCUUUUAGCAUUACUUGAUAGAGCCAGGUCCAAAGCACAAGACACCUCACAACAAUCUUUCGUAUUCAUAAAUUCUGGCACCUACUUUUUAUACCAAUCACCAUAGCAAUCCAAAGUUUAUAGAAUAAGUCAAUGUUCGGUGAUGUACAUUUUAAUUUGUGGGGCUUGCUGACCUGUAGUGUCCCUCAAGAAUUGGUGUUCUGUAGAGCUUGGUGCCUUUCACUCCACUUUCACUUCCACAUCAGUGUUUCUUCCUCUUUUCCUGUUUUUUCUUGUGAGUUUUAAAUCUUAACUAUAUUCAGUUUUACUGGAGAGGGAAGAUGGCCUUCAACUUUUCAAGCCAGUUGUUUUAUGUUGUUAGUUGAAAAGAAUUUUCUAAGAAAUUGAAUAUGUAUAUUUUUUUGAUGGUGGCGACAGGUUCAACAGUCCAAAAUCUGCCUCAAUCGGGUCAAGUGUCAGCUUUCCCACUUGGGAAUCUGAUGAAGAUGCAAUGAAGAUGCGAUACCAGUAAAAUAUUUUCCCAGAUUGGCGGAGAUGAUCUCUGAUAUCUGGUUGCAGAUCUCACAGAUCUCCAAUCAGAUACGACGGAGAUCUUGCAAUCUCGGACAUUUCCGCUCUCCAUCGCCUUUUUUAGCUGGUUUCAACUGAAUCUGACUACCACCCAUGGACACUUGCACGUUCGAGCUGUUGUUUCUGUUUAGUCAGUGAUGGGUCUCAUCUCACCACCCGACGACUAACAUAAUGUGUAGUCCAAACUGACUUGACCCGACUAGUGGACACCCCUAGAUAUGAAGACCAUUUUGUUCCUUUCUAAGUGCAGAGCCUUUCAUUUCAGUAAUAUUACUGUCCCUCCAAAAAAGUUUCAUUUCAGGAGCUUUCAGCAGGUACUUCCCAACUUAUUAGAUUGCUUCAAUCAAAAAGAUUUUCUGAAGACGUUUUCAUAAGAUUUUUCAGUUUCUUCCACUACUUUAUAGUGCAAAGUCAUAUUUUCUGAUGUCUUUUCAUAUUGUAUAGUGAUGGGUCUCAUCCUUCACCACCCGACGAUUGACAUAAUGUGGCUUGAGUCCAAACUGACUUGACCCGACCCAUGGACACCCAUAGAUGUGAAGACCAUUUUGUUCCUUUCUAAAUGCAGAGUCUUUCAUUUGAGUAAUAUAUUAUUUUCCCUACAAAAAAUUUUAUUUUCAAGAGCUUUUAGCGGGUGCUUCUUAACUUAUUAGAUUGCUUCAAUCAAAAGAUUUUUUUGAAGACGUUUUCAUAGGCUUUUUUCAGACAUUUUGUUUUAAGUCAUUGUCAUGUGCUAGUUCUGGUAUGUUCUACUCUUUUCUUUAUCAUUGGAUUCUGGUCUUUUAAGCAUUUUUUAUUGUUGUAUUUGUUUUAAAAAUCACUAUAGUUGGCUUUCCUCGAAAACCAGUGCUUCCACAAGCUCAUAGUCAACUUAUGAGGAAAAUUUCCUUUCUGAGGAGUCUCAAACUUCAUGUUUGUUACUCUUUGCAGUCUCUUUUUACAAUGUUUGGUUUAUGAUGCUGCCAUGGCCCAUCAGACUAGGAAUUUUAAUUUAUGUGGUGCAAUUUUUCAUGUGUGACUUGUAGGUUGUGGUUGUUUGUUUGUUAGUAGCAAACUUAAAAAUAGGGGGUUCAGAUCUUGGAAGCUUAAUAUAUUAGAUGAUUACGGGGUAAAUUUUGAGCUUCAAUUGUCCUCUGGUUAUAGUUUAUUAAUGUUGUACUCAUAAUUACUUGAUAUAGUAGCACGAGAUUCUUUUAGUAGGAUAAAAUUGUUUUUCCCCCCAGCUGAUAGUUUUCAUAUUUUGGCAUUCAGCCUUGUUGUUUAGGGUGGACCAUAUGCAAAGUUGCAAACAUAAAGCAUAUAGUUUUGAAAGUUAUAUAUAGCUUGCUAUCUAUUGGUCUCCCUCAGCCCAUGCCAAAAGGCCCUACGGUUAGCCCUUUUCAUUGUUUCAAUUAAUUUGCUUUCCUUCUCCUUACGUUUACAAUUUUGUUCCAUUCACUUUUUGAAUUUUAUUUCCUAUGCUAGAAAUUUGCAUAUUUCUUUAAUAUAUUUUCUAAACAACUUUUUGUUAUUCAAAUUUAAUCUUCUUUACUUAUGCAACAUGGUAAAUUCUCUCUAUCCACAACCAGUUGAAUUUGGUACUGUGCUAUAUUAUCGCUUUAGUUUAUGUUUCCAUUGCUGCAUUGGAAGUUGGAACAUGAUUUAAUUGAGAAGAAUAAAGUUGUAAUGGAUUUGAAAUAAGUUGUAUAUAUUUUUAAUCUAUACAUGUAUGGUAUUUGGUGGUUGAGUUGCAUUGCCUUAUUGCACGAAUGCUCUUCUUGCAUGUAUGGCAGUUGGGAAUGAAUUUGUAAUGAAGUCCCUGAUCAUUUGUCAUCUGGUUCAUUCAUAACAUUUUUAUAUUCUAGAAGUGACAUAACUUCUAUUUUCUUGGAUUUCUAAAAGAUAAGAUUUUGUUAUAUUUGCAUUUACGGAACAAAGUAAACAUUCUGCAACAAUGCAGCGAGUUUCACGAAUUAGAUUCCCUUGUUGCUGUUUAAAUGAUUCCUUAGCUUAUUAAUUAUUUUAUGUCUAUUAGUAGGUCAUUAUGUACAUUUUGGAACUUCUCUUAAUGGUUCGUGGUGCCAUACAAGUUUUGGCAUGAAAAAGAGCUAUGCUUAAUUGCUUUAUUCUCAAGGCAUGGACUCAGUAAUUUUCUCUUCAGGUAUGUUGUUAAUUUCAAGGCAUGGCAUAUAGGUAGGACCAAGUAGUUUCUUCAAUACUUCAAAAGAUGCACAGUUUCAAUGAUUAAUUAUAAUAUUUUUUGGCUGUUUUUAAUCCCAUGAACAAAAUUUAUUUGUGUUAAGAAGCAAUAUCAACACACAGUUUUUUUAAAGAGUUUUUUAAUGUUACAAUAUUGUUAGCUGCUUGCUUUAGUAGCCUCACUUAGAAUUCCAAUAUUUUCUUAUUAUAUGAACAAAUCAUGUACAAUUUAUAGACCCUCAAAUGGGAGAAAAUGUUAGUUAUAUCAAAUUUCUCAAUAAAUUCAAACAUCCUAUAGGUUACACUUACAGGAAUCUUAAACACUCGAGAAUGAAAAUCUUACCAAUUGUUAUGAUAAUAUUGACCAGUGACUAAAGGUCAUGACUCAUGAGAUGAACUUCAAGUUUCUCUCCAUUUAACAUUGAAAUAAAUCUUCGAGGAGACGUGUUCUUUGGUCUCCACCCUUUUUUUUCUUUGUAACUAUAUAUUUUUUUUAAUUGGUGCUUAAUAAUAAGAAGAUAAUUGGCAUAUGCAUAUGAUGGUGAGGCCAGACUACAAAUGAGAGCCCAUCACAAACAACUGUUAGUAUCUUAUCAACGAUUUUGGCUUUGGCUUUGGUCAUGAUCUGAACAUGAUUAAGUUCUUUUUGGGAGAAUUAAGCAUUUAAUCCCCUCUCUUAUGAUUUUACAAUACAAAGCAUUUAGUAACCAAUUGUGUUGAAUAUGAUUUGUUAGAACCGUGCCUCUUGAUUUGCAUGCAUUGUUAGAAUUUGAUCUCAUAUUGGGUUAGAUACCAAAUGAUUUUGUGAUGAUAUCUUGUUUACCCUUCUACAUCUUGAAACACAACAUACUAAUUCAAUUAUCUUUCAAAUGUGGUUGUAUGGUAACACUUUGUCCUGAUGUUUUUUUGCAGAUUCGUUUAUCCUUCAAGUUAUUCUAAAUUGCAAAAGAGCAAUAAUUUCUCUCUGUAAUAUCCCUCUUGAAAAUUUAAUUUAUUGCCAACUCAUCAAUUUGAUUUCCAGGACAUCUUAUAUGUUUGCUUCUAUGAUAGAUAUGGGUAGAUAUUUCUGGUUUUAAACUAAAUAAGUAGGGGAAUUUGUAUGUAAGGUUAUUGAAGCAGUGAGAAGAGUGAUUUUUCAUAAUUGCCAUCAUUUGAACUUAUUAUUUUUUACAAAAUUGAUCUCAAUGUGUUCCUACUUUCUAUUGAAUCUUCUUGGGUUGUUAUGAUUUUUGAGUAGUUACAGUAAAAUUUGUCAUAAGUCACCUUAAUUGCUAUAACUGAUGUUUGGUUGAUAAAAUACACUUUCCAACAAAAUAAAAUGUAGACACUAACCUCAUUCAUUUCUUUUAUUCGUACCAAUGUGCUUGUUGGGUUAAGCAGUUGAUGGAAAUAAAAGAAUGUUUGGACUCACUUGCAACUUUGGGAAUUAUAUUCAUAGACUUUGGGAUGGGUUUAAUUAUUUUUACUGUUGUUCUAUUUGGUUACUGCAAAAAUGUUGGAAUAUAAAGGAAAUGUUUGGUCACUGUAAAAAUGCUGCAGCUCUAUCUCAGUAACUGUUUUGGAAGAAGUUAAUAAAAUAUUAUUUUAGAGCUUUGUUUUUGUUAUUAUUAAUAAAAUCUUCUUCUUCUUCUAAUCUGUGUGGGAGUAUCUUCUGAGGGUGGAUUUCUUUAAAAGCUAGCCCGCUUCUUAACAAUCAAUUGAUUAUACUAAAGUACAAAAAAACAAUGUUCUACUUCCCUGGGUAGUUACAAUUUUGUCCUAUUUGCAGAAAUACUCAGAAGCAAUACUUCGCCAUACAGCAAAGGGCCAAGCAAGUCCAAAGGUCCACUGUAAGCCCUAAAAUUAAUUGUUUUUUGCAAUUAUCUAAUGCAGGUUUUUUGUUAGGUCUCAUUAUUUUUAUUUUUAUUUUUUUUGUUCAAGAUUGUGUUUGGUUCUAAAGGGAUGGUUUCUCUCUCUACUAUUUGAUAAAAUUUGGUUUAUUUUUUUUAUUUUUUAUUUUUAUAAAUCUUGGGUCUCAUACUGUUUUUCUCAUUGUUCAAUCUAAAUGCAGAAUUUCAGUUUCAGGGUCAUCAAAGCUGUUGGCAAAUAUUCUGCACUCAUGGGCCUAUCUGUUGGGAACUUAAUUGCUUGGUGAGAUGAAAUGGUAAGUGUUUUUUCUUGAAUCAUCUUUUUGGGUUGCUUUGAAUUAACCUAUUCUAUAGUUCAUUGGCAAAAUGUAAGAUUUCAAGCAUGUAUGUAUUUACAGAAGAGUUUUACGAACAUAUUGAUAUUAAGAGUGUUCGGUUUUAUAUUGUAAAUCUUGGAUGAAUUGGUAUAAUUUUUGUUAUACUUGAUGAUACAAAUUUGUGAGGAUAGAGAAGACACUAAGAAAGGGAGGAAAUAGAUUCUUGAAAGUAUUGGAUAAAACACUUGAAUUAGAAUUUUUUUCGUUUUUGCCUAUUUGGGUUGCAUUCGUUUUGGGUAUCUGUUUACAAUCAAUGCAUUCCAUUUUGUUUAGGUUGUUUUUAUUUUUAUAAUUCGUAUUUAUUUCAUUCCCUCUUCCCUAUAUUUUUGUUUCCUAUGUUCUCUUUGUUCAUUUUUGUCAAGUUAUUUGAGUGCUUUUUACCUAAAAAUAAAAAGUAAGUUUUUCCUGCAGUUGCGAUAUGUAGCCUACAGUGUUCAUAGAUCAUAGUUAUUGAGGCAUUGAAUUGGAACGAGUACCAAAAAUUUUGAAAGGUAAGUUUUUUACUAAUUUUCCCCUUAAUUUUUCUGGUUCUUAAUUUAUUCUUUUAGUAAUUAGUUGUUGAUUAAUUUGUGCUAUAUGUUCAAAGUCCAACAAGAUUUGGUUUUUUAGAUUAAUUUAUGAUUAAUUUUGAAGUUAUUUUACAAAAGAAAUAGUUGUCAGAAAUCUAAAUAAAUAAUUAAUGAAAUAGAGUUGAAAAAAAUAUAUAAAAUUUAUUUUAGUUACAUGUAAAACUGUAGCUGCUAAACAAUUAUUGAUUAUGAUGUGAGGGGGUGAAUUCUGUUGAAUUUUGAGUCAGUGUUAUUCUGUUUUAGUUCAAUGCUGCCAAACAGAUGCAUUGAGAAUCAAAAAGAGUUUAAGUUUCAGUUGUUUAAGCAUUCAAUUUUUGUUAGUUGCUUGGUAAAUCUUUGUUUUUAAGGCAUUGAAAUAGGAAAGAUAUGUUAUCUAUUUGUUUAUUAUUUUAACUCAAUCUAUUAAUUGAGGAUAGAAUAUAGUGAAAAUGGUUGUUUUCCUAAUUGUUCCCUCCCCCCCUCCACCCAAAAAAAAAAAAAAAACAAAAAUCAUUUUGUUUUUGUUUAUGGGUUUGGAUUGACACUCUUCAAACUUUGUAUUACAUGCUGAAAUUGGUAACAUAAGUGCAUUUGUAUGUGUGUUUUGAUUGAAAUGUAAUUUUCCAUUUAGCUUUUGUUUAGAUGGUUUCCCUUGCCAUGUGGUUGAUGUAAAGCAGCAUAGAUGGUGUAGCCUCACUAUGUUCAUAUUUACUUUUGUAUCGUAGAAUGUUUAGCCUCACUAUAUACGCACUUUAUCUUUGCAUCUUAUAACCCUUCAAAGAGAUGAACGAGAACACCUUCUAUGAUCUUGAAAUAUUGCUGGUACGUCUUGAGUUGAGUAGAAAUUACUUAAUCCAGCAAUCUUACUUAUUUUAAGAUAAUAUCUAAUACCAUGCUCAUCCUGCAUAAUCAUAUUUGACCAGUUAUAUUUUAGAUCAAGUUACUUUUUCAACAACAAAAACUGGCAUAGGAAUUAUGUGUAGCCUUUUGUAAUUUCUUGUGGCUGAGUUCUUUUUUAAAAUAAAGUUCUGAACAUGUAUAUAUAUAAUUAUUUAUAGCUAGGAAUCGAUUUUCUCAUGUUCAAACUUUACCACUUCGAUGUAAAGAAUUAUUGUAGUUCUUAGCCUGUGUGGAUCAUAUCAUUUGAGUUCUGUGUUUGCCUUUGUCUUUGUUCUUCUGCUUGCAAUAUCCCCACUAAAUAUGGACAUUUUUUUUCCCUCUGUAUUAUUUUAGUUCUUAGCUUAUAUGGAUCAUUCUUCUUCAGUUGGUUUAUAAUCAUUUAAUGCUUUCAUAAUUUUCUGCACACUUUGUGUUGGCAUUAUUAGAGAUGCUUUGGGAAAAAAUCAUAUAAAGUCUUUUGGAGGUUAUUUUUCCUUUCUUUGAAAAGAAAAAUGUUUGCCAAAAUGCAUAUCAGUUUUUCGAUGAAUGUACUGCAAGAGAAUAGGAGCUUAGUGGCACUAAAUUGAGUGAUCACAUUAUAUUUUAUGGGUACGACUUCCAUCUUUUCACACAUCAUAGUUUGCUGAUUUGAAGCUUUGGAUCUUUAUUUUCUUAAAUAUUGGGGGCUCAAUUGAGUUAUUGUUUGCAUUUGCUACAUUUUUUUAUUGGCUGCUUAAACGGUAAAUAUUUUACUAUGGAUUGGUAGUUUGAACAGUCAAGAAAGAAACCUAAGAAAUCAUAAAGAAUUUUAUAGAGCUGCUAAAUGUUAUGGUUUGUGCCAUUCUAACUUGCGCCUUUACUUUUGUUAAUUACGCUUUCUUCCUUUGAUUUUUUUUUUUUUUUUGGGAACAAUUUGGUGGGUUUUUCUUAUGAAAAGCAUGCCAACUAUGAAGUUUCCAACUACUUAUUGCUUAUCCGGAAAACAUAGUUAGAUAUAUACGGAUAAGGAAGAGUUUCUUAGGAGAGAAAAUAAGAGUUUUAAAUGAGAACCCAUAACCAAAAAAAUUGCCACUACCAGUAAAAGUUUUUUUUUUUUUUGGAUUAUCAUAUAUGAUUUAAGUUUGGGGAUUUUGGUUGGAUUGGUUUCGAUUUUGGUAGUUGGGUUAGAUUUGGUUUUGAUUAAGUUAUUUGGUAGACUUUUUUUUUUUAUGUAAAAUGAUCAUAUAAGAACUUUUGAAGUGGAAUAUAUAGUCUACACGAGUAUGUGCUUAGUGCUCUUUACCUUAAGUGACCAAAAUAGUGGUCACCUUAGUAGAAAUAAAUUUGAAAAGCAAAAAAAAAAUGUAUCCUGUAGAAGCAUAACAAAUUAGAAAAUAAGUAAGUUGGAACUUUUACUAUUUAAUGAGUGGAUUUAGGUUUCUCUAAAAAAAAAAAAAAAAAAAAAAAAAAGAGACUUCAGGGAUUUUAAAGAAUGUGAGCAAAAGGUUUGUGCAUUUGUGAUCAAAUAUGGUUUGGACACUAGGUGUAGGUGAUGGCUUAGGUGUUUACGAUUUACCCUCCCUGUAAAAUCACCGACACAAGCACUCUAGGUGUAGAUACAGUAGAGAGAGAAAGAUUUUAGUUGCAUAAGAACUCAAAUUAGAGACUAUUUUAAAGAAAAAGAUUAAAAAAACUCAGUUUAAAGAACUCUAUGGUAAUACAAUUCCUAAAACUAUAGGUAUGAUUUCCAAGUAAACUAGAAGUUACUGACUUCUAUAUUUUUUCCUUGAAGGAAAUUCUUAAGCUCUUUGCAUGGGUAGCCAAGUAACUUUUGUUCCCAUCUUAUAUCUUUAAUUAGAUGAAAUCUACUUCUCAAUUUUGGAUUAUUUCUCCCUUCGCUGUGCCAUUUUAUGAUUUGAGUUUAUUACCAUGGCUAGUAGCCUUUUAUGUUUUUUGUUACAAAUUUGAUAAGCCCUCUCAUAACACUAGAGAAAGGAAUUGGGAAGAAUGGGAAGCCUCUUCACUACAAAGGGAGCACAUGCAAUAGAAUUAUUCCCAACUUUAUUAUCCAAGUAGGUGAUUUUACUAUUGGUGAUGGCAGUGGUGGAGUUUCAAUAUUUGGUGUGAAGUUUGCCAAUGAGAACUUUAAACUAAAGCACACCAGGCUAGGCAAGUUAAAGUCCUACUUACCAUAUUUUCUUUUCAAAGCUAAACUUCUUCCAAAAGUUUAUAGUAAUCGAAUGUGUUUGAUUGGGUCUUACAGAUUUUUGUGGAUUAGCUUUGACUUUGGGAACAUUUUUGUAUUUCAAACCAAUGCCAUUUGGGUUUUAAAGUUUGCUCCCUAUAUAUCACUCCCUUUUCUUGGAGGAAGUCACACCCAGAAGCUAUUGGUUUGUAAGUGAUAUCAGAUAUAUAUCUAUAUAUCUAUAUAUAAAAAAAUAUGUGAAUGAUGUUGAUAAAAUUGUAAAGCAUGAUAUUACUACGAAGAAUUGCCUCCUAACAAGCUGCUAAAUCUAAAUAAAUUAGAACCUUCUUUCUUUUUAUUCUUUCAAUAAGUGUAAAGAUGUAGGGAAUGCAAGCUAUUUAAAAAGAGAAUUUGUGAAUUUUCUUUUAUGACAAAAAGCCUUAAGUUCCGCUUUUGAAUCUUUUAUUUUGUUUUUUGCAUGCAAUUUUUGAUGCUCGGUUGAAUUGUAAUUCUAUUUAGAGCAAAGAAAACAAUACUUAUUUUUUAUUUUGUACACUUGCAUGCAAUGAUUGUAUGAACAAGAUGGCUUUAGUCAGUUUGCCAGACAAUGUCUUCCAAUUCCAACUGUUUUUCACAUUGCUUCAUUGAAUUAACAUCUCAUGCUGGAUGGUGUAUGAUAAUUUGCAAUGCUAUAAGAUGUUGAAACAUAAGAAAUUCUAGGAUCUUUUGUUUUUUGUUUUGCAUAGUAAGAGCAAGCAACUACAAAAGGCAGAACCCACACAUACACUCCAAAAGGACUACCUUAACCAUCAAAUGUAGGGUAAGUUUGGUAGCUUAGUUUGUUCUUCUCCAAAAAGGAAAAAGGGUGCUUAGAUUUUGGGCAAAUGUGAUUUUUAUUUACUGAAAAUUAUUUGUAGAAACUCUUUCACUUAAAAUUUUUCAUAUGCAAGUUUAAAGAAAAGAGAUGGGACAGUAGAAGAAGGAUGCUUGGGUGAAGAAUAUAUUCGUGCAAUGAGGUUAAUUUAUAUAUAAUAAUUUAUAAUAAAAAAAAUGAGGUUAAUUUAUAUGUAAUAAGAAGUUGUAUAGAUUUGUUGAUGCAAAACUGAAUGUAGAUUUUGCAUAAUGUUUUCCCAUUGCCUUGAAUUUCUUUUUUUAUAAAAAAAUUAGUCUUUAUUUUUACAUUCUACUCUCUUUUUUCUUUUUGUUUAUUCUUGCUAGGCUAAUUUUGCUCUUAUUGAAAUUUUAUUUCCUUUAAGCUCAUAUUCCAUGUUAAUUAGAAUUUAGAGGUGCAUGUUUAAAAAGAAUAGAUAGGAUUCUAGAAUGAUGUUUAGGUUAAAUUUUGAAAAUCAUUUAUUUUUUAUGAUGGCAUAAUAGUGUUUUGGGUCUGACUAUAGUAGAUAGCAUGCUUGAUCCUAAGGAGCCACCAUUAUUAUUUAUUAGACCUUUAUCAGGUUCAAAUUGGCCUCAUUCUCAAAAAAAAAAAAAAAAAAAAAAGGUUCAAAUUGGCCUCUUCCACUUUUGGGCCAUUUUUCUAAAACCUUUCUAAGAAUUUAGAUUCAUUUAUCUUUAAUUCUCAGUCACACAUUUUUUUUUAUCUCUAUUACUAUAAAUAUAUGUGAUUUUAAAUUUAACUAUCCAGUGCAUUGCAUGGGUUAGUGAUUAGUUUGUAAUAUAUACGUAUAUAUUACAUCUUGAUGUUGUUUAUUGUUUAAUAGAUUGCCUAAAAUGUGUUAGAUUACAAUUGUCUACAAAUUUGCUGUGAGUCCUGAACUCUUCAAUGUUUUCUAUUUUUAUUAUUGUUCAUAUCAAGUUUUCUGUGAAAUUUCUUUUAGAAACAAACAGAAAUUUAGCAUGCUAUUGCGGCAAUGGCAGUUAGAACUUGAUAAAAUCAUGUAUGCAUGCACUGGUUUCAUUUGGCUUUUCUUCAUUGAUAAAGUGGGCUACUUCUACCAUUACAUCUACAUCUUGCUAUUUUUCCUAAGAACAAUUAUUUUUUAUAUAUAUAUAUAUAUAUUUUAAAUGAGAACCUAUUUGUUUCAAGUAGAAAUUAUUCUUAGGAAAUAAUGUCAACAAAAACUUAUGUCUCACGUUAGGUUAAAUUACUUUCAACAAAAAGAGUUGUCAAUAAAUUGUUUUGUUGGGUUAAUUAUUUUGUUCUUCUAAUUGACUUAUUUUUAGUCUGCAAAUUGUUCUCUACUAUUGUUUCUGUAGUUGGCUGCAUACACUUUCAUUCAUAAGAGGGCUUAUUUAGUUUAAAAUUAUUUUUUCCAAUUCUUUUUUUAUUUGGAAAUUUUGUAUCUGGUUUGGUUAUGAAGGUGUUUCCUUCUUUGCUAACUCAUAAGUUAGCUUAACUUCCAGACUUUACAGAGGUCAGUGUUUUAAUAUUUUAAGAUCUCUGUCUUUGUAAUUUUCUCUUUUCAAUCUAUGCUUGGGAGAACGAGUCAAAGUCGAGAACCUUUGCAAUGAGACCCUCAAAAUGUUUGACAAAAUGCUUAUGUCAAGCACGCCAUGCACCCGUUUUCUAUUGGUUUAAAAAUCUGCUUAAUAUAUUGUAGUAUUAAGUGGUUUUUGCUGAGGUCUCUUGUACUAUAGAUUGCUGCCAAGCAAAGCAGUUUGUGGGAACAUGUUCUCGAUCUCAGUCAAGUCUGUGUUUACAUGUGUUUGUUGAAUGCCUAUAGGAAAGAUUGAAAAGAAAAAAGGGUGGUCAUGUUUAUACAUAGAACAAAUAGUGGAAAAUGUUGAUUCAAGAAUCCAUACUACUACAUUCCUAAAGCUUUAUUGAAUUUAUUGCAACAAUGAAGGUAGUAAAAGGAUUGAUUCUGGGUAUGGUUAUCAAGUCGUCUCAUUAAAAUAUCAUAGCCUCACUCUUUGUCUAAUUAUAGUUAAACACAAAAUUAAUAGAAAAAAGAAGUCUCUAAAUUUGUUUUGACUUUAGUAUGAAAUUGCAGGAAAAUGAAGAAUGCACUACCUAAUUGGAUGAUGUGUGACCUCUAGGUAAGUGUCCCCUUGCUGUGUCCCCCUUUCUUUUUGUUAACUUCAACUUGCCAUAGUCAACAGCACAAUAUAUAGGCACCUUAAAGGAAGACAGGAGUACUGAAAAAGGUAGAAAACAAUAGGGCACUUGUGUUGCAACCCCCAAAUUUCUAAUGACAUUAAAUUGUAAGAUAAGUUCAGUGAUUCAAGAUCCGGUAACUGCUCAUAGAUGGUUCUUGAUGCAGGGCAUUUCAAGUUGUUGUGUCCAAAUCCUCUUGUAAAUAGUUAGUUGAUUAGAUGACUGCUUAAGCAUUAGCCAAUAGGAUUUAGGCACUUGUCAAGCACCUAGAGGGCUCCAAUGCCAAACAAGUACCACAUUGUAGUUACUUUGUAAUUAGUUUUGAAUGCAAUUACAAAGAUUAGACUAAUGCUAUUUUCAAGAUAUGGAUUUCUCUUUAGAAGGUUUUGUCACACCUUGUUUACUGUUCUAAGCAACUCUCAUUUCCCUUAAUCAAUUCUAAGCAUAAACAGCAGCCCCCUUAGAUUACUUGCAUCAGUUCUAGCAUCCUGCAAGAAAAUAAGAACCCACAUAGGUCCAAAACCAAAUUGGGGAAGCACUUUCUCAAGUAAAGUUACAUGGAAGUAGUAAUAAGAUUAAGAAAUUCUCGUGAAAUCUCUUUUAGACCUCAGCUGUUAUGUUUUGAAUUUUGUAUAACUCUAUUUUGAGGUGAUUCGUUGGUGAUUUGUUUUGAUAAUUCGGCUAUUUGUUAGAUUUGCAUGUGCUCUUGCUUUUUGAAAAAUGCUUAUAGGAAUUGCAAUUGGGAAAUUUCCUUCACAACCACAUUUUCAUCUUUGAUUUUUUUUUUUUUUUGAUGACUAUAUGUUUUGCUGUCAAAUGUUAAGUUUAAAAAAUAUAUUUUUUGACUUAAUAAUUUGUGGGUUGGCAGAGUAGAAAAUGAAUUGUUUUUGCAGAAUUGGUUUAAAAUUGCCACAAUUAGGGUGAGAUACAAAAAUCUACAUGUGGAGGCAGAGUGUGUGGUCAUUCAUGGUAAGCCCCUACACACACUAUGGAAUUCUCUUAUGUGGCUCUCUGUAAGUACUUUUAUUUUCUUGAGAAGAAAUGGCUAGAAUAACCUGAAGAUAAAAUUUUCAAUUUAUUAGUGAAAAGCAUGCUAGGUGUUUGUUUAACUGGUUAAAUAUUAUAUUUCCCAUAUUGCUUCUAGCACCUAAUAUGGAUGGGUUUUCUUGGUGUAAAAGAUAAUAAGUCUUGAUGAAACUUCUUUGUGGGUCCAUAUGGGUCUACAACUCCACCAUUCACAACUCGUCACAUGGGCAAGUUGUGACAAAGUUGUGGGUUUUGUUGUGGUUCUAGCGUUUUUGACAGAAUCACUGACGAAUGUGCUUUGUUGGGACUUGGGUUUUUCUUGACCGUUGGUCUGUUUCUUUUUCUUUUGUUUUAAAAAUAAUUUCAUUUUUUUGAUGUUCUCUUUGUGUGGUUAAUUGGUACUGUCUUUUUGCUUUAUUAAAUUCUGAAAAUCUUAAUAUCGGGGUGUGGGGGUAAAUUUCAAUUGGAAGUGAAGUUCAAUAUUAAUGCAAAAAAUGUAUUCUUGCAUAAUACUAGGGACCUUGGAGCAGACCUCAAUGGGCAAUGGAGAAGUGCAAAAACUGUAAUUAGUGCUAUGCUGCCACUGUGGAUGGAUAUAAUAUUCUAUUGAAGCAUAUGGAUGGGGUCUAAGCCAUGAACGGGUCUCAAAAUUAGGCCCUUUGUUUCCUCUAUAUAAAAUAUUGAAGAUUACUGGUCAAUUUUUUAAUUUUUUUUAUUUUUAAAUUAGCCGAUAAAAUAUGAUUAGGUUCUGGUAUUUAGGCUUGGUUGCUCCGGUUUGGAUAUGCGUCUCUUUUUGUAGAUUAGCUGGGAGCAUUUUUUUAUAAUGAUCGUUUAAGGUUUUGGAAAUUCCCAUUUGUUUUUGGGUUCUAAAUCUGCAUCUAUUAAAUUUAUUUUAUUUUAUUUUUAACUAAAUACUCUCCAAAAGCUUUAAAAACCCAACUCCUCUGUUGUCUCUGAAAACUCUCCAAACUGUGAACUCUAUACCCACACCCACAAAUCUUCAAUUGCUUAUGAUUUUGAUUCACCCUCUUUAUUUUUUACUAAGUGAUUUUUGAAUAUAGUUUUGUUAAUCAACUAGAUGUAUGGUUUUUUAAGUGGAAUCUUAUAGUGGGUUGUAUUUGACAUCAGGGUGGAGCUAUGUUGAAGGCUUGGGGGGCCUGGAAUCGCUACUGCUAUCCUUAAACCCUUCCCUCUGUUUUAAAAGAAACUCUGCUGCCUCAAGUCUCACCUCUAAAGCUUGGUAUUUUUUUUUUCAUCAUCUGCCUUUUUUAUAAUCCUUCUCUUUUGGGGUACUGAGUUUGUGUUCUGCGAUUUUUUGUUUUUAUUUUAUUCUAUUUUUUAUUUAUUGUUAUAUUUGGCUGCAGAGAAAAGCCUAGAAAUUAGAGCAAUGAAAAUUACUAUCCAAUCUAUGAUUAUCUUUAAUAGGCUUACAUCAAGUUGAGCCUUUUAUUGGUUUUUCAGGUUAGUUUUUGUUUUGCUUUUAAAUAUAUCAAUGGACACGUUGGGGAGUGGAGUGCUGUUUUGGGGUGUACAUGGUGAGGACCUGUUUUACAUACCAGUGAAAGCGAUAAAGAAUCAGAGUUGUCAGCAAAAGCAAGGUUAGACCUUUCUUGUAAUUCAUUGCCAAACCCUUCUUUGGAGCCUGUUACUAACCAUGAUAGGUUCUUGGACUGCACCAAGCCUUUGGUCCCAGCACAGUAUUUCUCUAAGGUCAAUCAUUUUAUCUUUCUUCUUUUAUGCUUUUUGUUAGUUGUAGUUUUUGUUUAGCUCCUGUGAAAUUUGUGGUACAAAUUAUUUAGCAUCAUAAUUUUGUAUUCCUGAAUAAAAAAUAUCUAAAACUCAACCAAGUGUAGUGUAUAUUUAGUCUGAUUCAAAUUUGUGGUUUUGAUUGGUUUAUGAAGCCAAGUUGCAACACAACCGUGAGUUAGCUGAGAAAUCUGGUCAUCAUAUGCAAUUGAUAGAUGAUUACUAAGAGAGACAGUCACAGAUAUAGUAGGAGCAAUCUUCAAAUGCCAGUAUUGACGUCCUUUCAAUUGAAAGUCAACUAAUUUUUUUCCUUUUUAAUAGAAAAAACACACACAUAUGUGUGUGUGCAAUUUUCACCCCUUCGUUUACUUAUCCUACUUGGAAGAUCAAGAGGGUUGCAUGCCAUAUGUUUAAUGAAAUUUCAAUUAGACAGGUGAUAUGUAAUCCUUUGAUAUAAUUUUUUUUUUCUUUUUCCCAUCUUAAUAUAAAUUUUGACCUUUUGUUGGAUUCACAAAAUCCUAUUAACCACAAGCGUUGAACUUUUGUGUGUAAGGGUUUAGUUGUAAUCGGUUCUUGGUUUAGUUGGUUUGCAGUGGUUUUGCUGCUUUUGGGAUUUUUUGUAGGUCAGCUGUUUUUAUUGGUUUGUUUGUUGUUUUGCCAAAGUUGUUGAUGUGUACUGAUAGAAAGAAAGAACAAUGAAGAAUGAGCACUGAGGGUUUGUAUUUGGUUUUGUGGUUUUUGUCAUUUUUUAAUACAACCUUUCUUAUGUAGGUGUUUUUAUUAUUGCGUGGUUUUGAACAUGAGAAAUAAAAUUAUUGUAAUUGCUUAUUAUUUACCUAUGUAUCAUAAUAUAUAUAUAUAUAUAUAUAUAUAUCCUUUGCAAAACUUUCACAUGCAUCGUACGGGUUACCGACUAGUUUAAUAUAUAUUGAAAAUUUGAUUUUAGGUCAUAUAUGAAUUUCCUAUAAAUUUUAGAAUCUUUUCCUUUAUUACUCCCAAGGCCCAACAGCUCUCUCUCUCUCUCUCUCUCUCUCUCUCUCUCCCAAGGCCUUCUCCCUGACAUUCCAACUGGCUGUGCAACAUUUUUUUUAUAAGAAGGUUGGUGUUUUUUUGAACUUAUUUACCAUGCUGCUAAUCUAUAACAUUCUGUGAUUAUCAUGAUGCUGUAGCUUCACAUUAUUCUUAUUUGUGAGUUUGGACAGUCUGAAUACUUAUUAUUAUCUAGGUUACUGUCACAGAAAUCAUUCAUAUCUCAGUUUUAUUUCACUAAUGUUUUGUUUGGCUUGUUUCAAUGUUCGUACUUAAUACUUUUUAUUUCAUCUAGGUGCAGGAUCCCCAAUUUGGUUGGGAGACCACUGAAAUGCUUAUCAUUCUUUGGUUUUGAUUUGUGGAAAUUGUUAAAACAUAGAAAUAUUGUCUUCUUAAUUGCAUGGCAGCUUUAAGUACAAUAAGAUCUACAUGAACAGUGUGUAUAGUACUUUGUUAUUUUAGUGAGAUUGUUGAAAAAACGUGUAUUAGGGGAAUUCCACUUUGUCACUUUAUUUGUUUCAAUUGCUGAGUCAUGUUGAUGAAGUAAUAUUGUAUUGUUACUUGUUAUGUGGGGUUCUUAAAUAUUAAUGCCAAAAUUUAUAUUUUUGAUUUAGGUACUAAGCGUGAGUUUGGAUACCAGAGUUUCCGGCGUUUGCGUUUUUGGCUGAGUCUCACAGCACUGUUCACGACCCAGCCAAAAACACAAAAACGCGCAUACCAAUGCAUUUUUUAGUCUCACGGCACUAUUCACACAAUUAAAAAUUAUUUUGUUAUAGUAUUUUGAGCAAUAAGUUUUCAAUUUUCAGCAAAUAAACAGCAACCAAACACACCCUAAUUGGAUAUUUGGAGAUAAAAAUUAUUUACAGUAUGAUAGUUCUAUCAAUAAGACGCUAAACAGGUAAAACUGUUAGAAAGUAUCAAUAAAGCCAAAAUAGUACUUGGGUUAUUGUGUUACCAGAAAUUUUAUUUUAUAGGUUUUUGAUAUAACCUUUGCUGCUGCCUUUAUCAACUGGUGCUUGUUGGUUCUUAUUUCUCAAUAAAUCAAGAUGGUAAAUUCUUUGCCUUCUUUUGUUUUACUUUUAUUAAAUGUUUUUCUAUGUCUUCAUGAAUCUCGGAACUUUUGUUUGCAUUGUGUUAUUUGGUCUUCGUACCGGAAUUGAUACAUUUGAGAUUAUGCAAGAUUAUACAUGAAAUAUCCUUUUUUGGCUCUCUUUCACUAUUUUUUCCUUUUCUUACGAGUGUAUUCCAAAUGAAAUUGGGGUUUGAAAUUAGUCAUAUAAAAUAAUUUAGUACAUGUUAUGAGUCAAAUGCCUAUUUACAGAACUUUUCGUUGGUGCUUUCUUGAGUGGUUUUGCUGAAUCUUGAUGUUAAUAAUUUUAUGUGCUGCCACAAAAUUAUGCCCUAUCUUUAAUAUCAUGAUGGAUUGAUAUUUAUGUGAGUUCAUAUGGUAAUAUUUGAUCUAGUUUUAUAAAAAAGUAAUGAAAAUUCAUGAUAGACUGAUAAAGGAUUCUUGAAUGUUUAAUUUGACUAAAAUGGCCUUUGUUGUUACCAUAAUAUAUAUACUUUUUUGUUAAAUUUUAUAUGUAACUUUUUUUCCCCUAGGAGAGGGGGAAGGGGAGAUUCAAAUUAGUGACAUUUGAUUGAUAUUACUACCAGAAUUGCAAGUGGUUGAUUAGGUACUAUGUCUGGUCCUUAUACACACUUGAGAUGUUCUCACUAAAUAUAUAUAUAUAUAUAAUAUCCAAGUUAGACAUACUGUGUGCAAAGGCAGAAUGUUUAAUUUCUUUGCUGCACUGGAUAUGUACAAAUAAAAGGCUCUAGUUCCUUUCUUGAAAAUAAAAGGCGAGUCCAUGUUACUGCAGUUUUUACAUUUUGAACUUUCUCUAUCCCAAGAUAUUAGCUUUUGUUGUUUAUAUCAACUAUGUUCCAAUAUGGAGUGAAAAGUCUUGAACUUUCUCUAAUAUGAGUUAUUUUGUCUCCUUAAAGCAUUCUGCAAGACUGUUUGUUCAAGACUGGACCUAGGUUGGCUGCUGUUUAAUUCAUUUUUGCCACAUGUUAUUUUAUUUUAUUUUAUUUUUGGUUCUUAUAAUCUUAAUGUAUAUCUUGCAGGAUUUUUUCUUUAUUUCUUUACUUGUUCAAUUUUUUGUUAUAAUGCUUCUAAAUUUCCCCUUAUCUGUGAUAUAGGUAAGUCUUGCUUGAUACUAACACUUUUCUUUGAGUUCAGUUUAAACUUUGUUAUUGAAGAGUUAUUCCCUUGUCACAAAAGAUAUGGAAUGGAUGGCAUAUGGAUACAUCUUUAUGUUCUGGAGCUACACAAUCGUCCAUAUUGCUCUAUAUUUUCGCUAUUGCUUAUCUCAUAAAUUAUAUUUUGGUUUUUUUUUUUUUUUUUUUCAUUUUAAAAUUUUUUUUUUUGACAAUUUGAAUUACAUCUCCCCAAUUUUUUUUUUUUUUUUUUUUUUUUUUCAUUUUAAAAUUUUUUUUUUUGACAAUUUGAAUUACAUCUCCCCAAUAAUUCACAUUGAUUUACAAUGUUUCUUUGAUGCAUCUCAAGAAACAUUAGUAGCAGUAAAAAAUGACAUGGUCAGUUAAGGGGGUAACCGAGAGUUGAACUUUGGACAAAAUAGAAUGGUAGAAAGUGACUGAUCCUGAUUAGCCUGUUGAGCUUUUAUCUUUCUACUUUUAUUUUAUUAAUAUUUAUUCUUAUAUAAUUUUGUUUUUUGGCAGUGCUGGUUUCUAAGCAGUUUGUGGAUAUGUCUCGUAUUAGAAUUGAGGGCCUUCUUGUGGCUUUUUCCAAGUUGGUAGGCACAGGAAAACAACAUACAUAAUAGACGGAAAAUGUGUGCUAUGUGUACCAGCCCUUUGAGGCUUUGUACUUGCUGCUUGUAACAAACAAACAGAGCAACAUCCUUGAAGAUUUGGAGACUUUGUUGAGGAUGCUCUCUAAGCUUGUAUCUUUUUCUUGACAGUUUAUUAUUAUCUUUCAACUUCCUAAAAUAAGUGUCUUGAUUUAUUACUUAUCCAAAAAAAGUUUCACUUGCUUUUAUAAUGGUAAGAUUACUUGUAUGGAUGUAGGGAUUUGCUCCUCUUGAUCCUUUCUUAUGCCUGGCAUGUUCAUACCUUUUCUCAUUCCUUCACAAGUAUGUGAAGUAUACCUUUCUUUCCCUCAUUUUAGGAAUUACUAGUUAGUUUCAUCAAUAUAAUUUGAUACUUAUCCCAUGGUUGCAUUGAUAGGCCACCCAUAGAAGCCUGAACUUUCGAGAUUACCCGUCAUGAAUUUACAAUAUUAGAAAUCAUAAACAAAUCUGUAUCAGGGGAAAACUAUUUGAGAGAAAAUAACGAUAUUAAUUCUGAGACUAUCAAUUACACUAGACCAUUGAAGAUCCUAAGUGGGCCUUUAUUGAAUUUAGACCAUUUUUCUAGACUUAUUUUCUAUCUGCAUUAUCUUUUCCUUGAGCCCGAUGUACUUUCAUCACUUCCAAUUUUUACAAUUUUAGGAGUGAAGUUUCUGUAGCAUGCUGAUUGCUUUUUAAGAAAUUUACAUUAGAGAUGCUAAUAAAAUAGAUUAUGUAAAAAAUGUCAAACAGAGGAAUUGAGUUUAUUCCUUAAAAAUAUUUAGGUACCUGAAUAUUCCUAUUCUCUAGAUGAAGGGGGUAUAUGCAAGACAGCUUUUGAGCUGAUUUUUUAUUUUGAUGAAGUCAUCUCUCUUGGGCACAAGGAAAGUGUAAUAGUUGCACAGUUUAAGCAGUACUGUGAGAUAGAAAGUCUAUGAAGAGAAGUUGCACAAGCUGGUAUUGCAGAGGAAGAUUAAUGAAACCAAGGAUGUUAUGAAGCACAAAGCCUGUGAGAUUGACGAACGCAAGGUAGGUUAUUGUCCUAAUUAUCUUAUUUCUAUUAUUUUCCUGUAUUGAUUUGAUCUGUCCCUUAUAAGAUUCUUGUACAUAUUCUGCAGAUUGAAAAGGGAAGAGGUGAAAGGGAGGGUUUAUGUCUUUACGGUCAAUGGGCUCUGGAAGGAUUGA
rnacentral:sRNA from 1 species